ACGGGAGGCAGCAGUGGGGAAUAUUGCACAAUGGGCGCAAGCCUGAUGCAGCGACGCCGCGUGAGCGAAGAAGUAUUUCGGUAUGUAAAGCUCUAUCAGCAGGGAAGAUAAUGACGGUACCUGACUAGGAAGCACCGGCUAAAUACGUGCCAGCAGCCGCGGUAAUACGUAUGGUGCAAGCGUUAUCCGGAUUUACUGGGUGUAAAGGGAGCGUAGGCGGUCAUGCAAGUCUGAUGUGAAAACCCGGGGCUCAACUUCGGGAUUGCAUUGGAAACUGUAAGACUAGAGUGUCGGAGGGGUAAGUGGAAUUCCUAGUGUAGCGGUGAAAUGCGUAGAUAUUAGGAGGAACACCAGUGGCGAAGGCGGCUUACUGGACGAUUACUGACGCUGAGGCUCGAAAGCGUGGGGAGCAAACAGGAUUAGAUACCCUGGUA
rnacentral:rRNA from 1 species